CCGGGUGUAGCGCAGUUGGUAGCGCGCCUGCUUUGGGACCAGGAGACCGCGCGUUCGAGCCGCGCCACUUGGACCA
rnacentral:tRNA from 1 species